rnacentral:rRNA from 1 species
AUUAGUCUUUUAAUUGAAGGCUUGUAUGAAUGGUUGGACAAAAAGCAAACUGUCUCAGUUGUAAUAAUUGAAUUUAACUUUUGAGUGAAAAGGCUUAAAUAAGUUAGGGGGACGAUAAGACCCUAUAAAGCUUGACAAUAAGCCGUUUAUAUUAUAAAUUGUUAGUAUAACUUGAUUUUAAAUGGUGUUUGUUGCGUUGGGGCGACGAGAAUAUAAAAGAUAACUGUUCUUAUAAUAUUUAAUAACAGAAAUAGCUGGAAAAUUAAUGAUCCUUUCUUUAAGAUCAUAAGAUUAAGUUACUUUAGGGAUAACAGCGUAAUCUUCUUUGAGAGUUCAUAUCGACAGGAAGGGUUGCGACCUCGAUGUUGAAUUAAGGUAUCCUUAUAAUGCAGCAGUUAUAAAGGAAGGUCUGUUCGACCUUUAAAUC